rnacentral:rRNA from 1 species
UACGUAGAAGACUAGUGUUAUUCAUCUUUAGUAGGUUUAAAGGGUACCUAGACGGUAUUACUAGCCCAAGAUAGGGUACGGUAUUGCUAGAGUUUUAUAUGAGAAGGGGAGUAUUCAUGGAGUUAGAGAUAAAAUUUUUUUGAUACCAUGAGGACUGGCAGCGGCGAAAGCAACCUUUUAUCUAAUAACUGACGUUGAGGGACGAAGGCUUGGGUAGCAAACAGG